UCCCAGACUCCUACGGGAGGCAGCAGUGGGGAAUAUUGCACAAUGGGGGAAACCCUGAUGCAGCGACGCCGCGUGGGCGACGAAGCGCUCCGGCGCGUAAAGCCCUGUCAGCAGGGAAGAACAAAGACAGUACCUGACCAAGAAGCCCCGGCUAACUACGUGCCAGCAGCCGCGGUAAUACGUAGGGAGCGAGCGUUGUCCGGAAUUACUGGGUGUAAAGGGUGUGUAGCCGGGCUGACAAGUCAGAUGUGAAAUUCCGGGGCUCAACCCCGGGCCUGCAUUUGAAACUGUUGGUCUUGAGUAUCGGAGAGGCAGGCGGAAUUCCUAGUGUAGCGGUGAAAUGCGUAGAUAUUAGGAGGAACACCAGUGGCGAAGGCGGCCUGCUGGACGACAACUGGCGGUGAGGCGCGAAAGCGUGGGGAGCAAACAGGAUUAGAUACCCCCGUAAAU
rnacentral:rRNA from 1 species